rnacentral:rRNA from 1 species
AUACGUAGGGUGCAAGCGUUAAUCGGAAUUACUGGGCGUAAAGCGUGCGCAGGCGGUUUUGUAAGGCAGAGGUGAAAUCCCCGGGCUCCACCUGGGAACUGCCUUUGUGACUGCAAGGCUAGAGUACGGCAGAGGGGGAUGGAAUUCCGCGUGUAGCAGUGAAAAGCGUAGAUAUGCGGAGGAACACCGAUGGCGAAGGCAAUCCCCUGGGCCUGUACUGACGCUCAUGCACGAAAGCGUGGGGAGCAAACAGGAUUAGAUACCCUGGUAGUCCACGCCCUAAACGAUGUCAACUGGUUGUUGGGUCUUCAUUGACUCAGUAACGAAGCUAACGCGUGAAGUUGACCGCCUGGGGAGUACGGCCGCAAGGUUGAAACUCAAAUGAAUUGGCGGGG